ensembl:lncRNA
GGUGUCUGGAGCUCUACCCUUCUGCCCUAUCAGAUGCUCAGAAGUCCAUACAGCUCGCCCCUAUUGGCCAAGGGAUUCUUCCUCAAGGGGAGUGCACUGAUGGGGUUAAAGAGAUCGUUGCUGCUGGAGAAGUUUACAACAGUGCAGGCUGCUCUCGGCUCCCCUCUCAUGACUCCAGUGGUGGUCCUCUCCUCCCCUCAGGACUCCAGUGGUGGUCCUCUCCUCCCCUCAGGACUCCAGUGGUGGACCUCUCCUCCCCUCGGGACUCCAGUGGUAGACCUCUCCUCCUCUCAGGACUACAGUGGUGGACCUCUCCUCCCCUCGGGACUCCAGUGGUGGAACUCUCCUCCCCUCGGGACUCCAGUGGUGGACCUCUCCUCCCCUCGGGACUCCAGUGGUGGACCUCUCCUCCCCUCAGGACUCCAGUGGUGGACCUCUCCUCCCCUCAGGACUGCAGUGGUGGACCUCUCCUCCCCUCAGGACUCCAGUGGUGGACCUCUCCUCCCCUCGGGACUACAGUGGUGGACCUCUCCUCCCCUCAGGACUGCAGUGGUGGACCUCUCCUCCCCUCAGGACUCCAGUGGUGGACCUCUCCUCCUCUCAGGACUCCAGUGGUGGACCUCUCCUCCCCUCAGGACUCCAGUGGUGGACCUCUCCUCCCCACACCCAGUCUGUUGUUUGGUUAUUCCACAUCUAAAUUAUACAUAAUUUAAUGUGAGUGUAUAUACCUACAGCUAUAGGUUCUAUACUGUCCAAAAUAGCACCCUAUUCCUACAUAGUGCACUACUUUCUACCAGAACCUCAUGGUCUUGGUCAACCAUAGUGCACUGUGUAGGGGUUAGGGUGCCAUCUAGGUCACAUUCAUAAUGCUCUGUUGUUGUAAGGUUGCUGUAAUGGAUUUAUUCUGACCGUGGUCCCCUCCCUUCCUCUCAUCCUCAGGUCCCCCUGUCCCUGUCUCUGGGUGGGGUACGUCACCAUGGACCUCACUGAGAAACACAUGUUGGACCUCUUCAAAACGUAUGACCAUCAUGCCCCAUUUCUAUCUGUUUUAGUUCAGUAUCUGCAUCUCUAACUACAUGUUAGUUAACAGACACUCUUAUCCAGAGCGACUUACAGGACGACUUUCAGAGUUCAACAUUCUAAUUCUAUCUCCCCUCACCUACAGUACAGAACAUAGAGAGUAUCACAGUUCUACAUUCUAAUUCUAUCUCCCCUCAUCUACAGUAAAUAACAUAGAAAUAGAAUGUAGAACUCUAAUACUCUCUAUGUUCUGUCUCUCCCUAGUUGUGGUUAUAUGUGUGGUGAGAUAGAGAGUAUCAGAGUUCUCCAUGAAAGAUUUUGUGCCUUUGUCAACAUCAAGAAUACCAACAUGGCUGCUCGCGCCUUGGAGAGGCUCCAGGUGAGUGGUGGGAUGAAACAUAAUGCUGUCAAAUGCAUUUAACUAUGUGAGAUGUGCUUUCAAUUAUUUAGCAUGCACUUUAGGAGAUUGUACUUUUGGGAAUAUGCUAUUGGUUCCUUUGUUCUAUUGGGACAAUGCUAUUGGUUCCAUUGUACUAUUGAGACUAGGCUAUUGGUUCCAUUGUUCUUUUUUGACUCUGUUAUUGGUUACAUUGAACUUUUGGGACUAUGCUAUUGGUUCCAUUUAAUGUAUUUUGACAGUGGCUGCUGUUGUAUGUAUUUUGACUGUGGCUGCUGUUGUAUGUAUUUUGACUGUGGAUGCUGUUGUAUGUAUUUUGACUGUGGAUGCUGUUUGUCCUACUGUCCAGGGGGUGGAGCUGGAGAGCACCAGACUGGUGAUUAGGUACCCAGACCGCUAGGUCCUCUCCUCAGACCUCAACACCUCCUCAGCCUCCCAGUACGCCGCCACAGGGUAAGGACAUCCGACUAUGUCAAAACAUCAACUAUAAUUUAUAAACAUAUUUAAGCAUUUAUAAUGUUUUAUUCUAAAUUGUUACUAAUCUAUGGGCCAUGAAUUGUACAAAAUUACAGACAACUGACAGAAGGUGGGGACGGGAUUGUGUUUUCAUACUGUUUGUGUCUCUCUCCCAAGCCCAGGAGGAUGGCUCCCAUCAAUCGUGAUGAGUGUUUCUUCUGGAGGACCACUGGCUGUCUCUAUGGUGACAAAUGUCGCAUCAAACACAAGCCUGACCAUAGAGGAAGAGACAGGAAACCAUGGCAACCCUGACCACCCUGACCACCCAGACUAACCUGAACACCCUGAACAUCACGCACCGUCCGGAUAUAACAGAGGGAGGAAGAAGAGGAGGAAGAGGAAGAACAGAAUAAUGAAAAUGAAGAUUGAGGAAGAGGGACCGUGUACCUACUUUAAAAGGGAACAGGAAGCUUGGAUAGAAUGGGGGUGUUGGGUGGUAUCACCACUUUUGUAGUCCUCUGACACACAGAACACUGGACGUACAGUAUGAGUGUGUGAAGUGUCAAUCAAAGUGAAGAGCAGUGCUCCUCUGAUUUCCUUUCCCCUCUCCCUCGGCCUGAGCUGUUUUUGAAUUGAAUUACAAUUGAAUAUAGGGCAUGUUCCAGGCAGACUAUAUUGCAGUCGCCUGCCAGAUCUCACAAUGCCUGGAUAGGUGUUUGUGUUUAAGAUAUCAGUUAACCCGUGAUUCCCGACUGCGCAAUCGAUAAUGUGGCACACAACCAUUGGUUGGUGCGCACAGAUUGACUGCAAUGUAGUCAGCCUGGAACGCCCCCAGUGUCCAUGUGGUGUUCUAACAUCCACACUAGACCACCUAAACUGAAACAAGUAGUGUGCUACUGUGGAUAUUAGAACGAGGCCCAUAUCUUCAGUUCAGUGAAUUUAUACUGUAUAUGUAUGUUCAGUGGACUAAUAAUGUAUGUUCAUUGGACUAAUACAUUUAUGUUCAGUGGACUAAUACAUGUCUGUUCAGUGGACUAAUACAUGUCUGUUCAGUGGACUAAUACAUGUAUGUUCAGUGGACUAAUACAUGUAUGUUCAGUGGACUAAUACAUGUAUGUUCAGUGGACUAAUACAUGUAUGUUCAGUGGACUAAUACAUGUCUGUUCAUUGGACUAAUACAUGUCUGUUCAGUGGACUAAUACAUGUCUGUUCAGUGGACUAAUACAUGUCUGUUCAGUGGACUAAUACAUGUCUGUUCAGUGGACUAAUACAUGUCUGUUCAGUGGACUAAUACAUGUAUGUUCAGUGGACUAAUACAUGUCUGUUCAGUGGACUAAUACAUGUCUGUUCAGUGGACUAAUACAUGUCUGUUCAGUGGACUAAUACAUGUCUGUUCAGUGGACUAAUACAUGUCUGUUCAGUGGACUAAUACAUGUCUGUUCAGUGGACUAAUACAUGUAUAUUCAGUGGACUAAUACAUGUCUGUUCAGUGGACUAAUACAUGUAUGUUCAGUGGACUAAUACAUGUAUGUUAAGUGGACUAAUACAUGCAUGUUAAGUGGACUAAUACAAUUGAAGUUGACUAAAGUGACAAUAUGAGGAGCACAGAAUGACUGAGAGCAUCAAUGUAAAAUGACAAUCUGUCUGUAUCGUCUCAGCAUGUGGGGGAGCUGG